rnacentral:rRNA from 1 species
UACGUAGGGGGCUAGCGUUGUCCGGAUUUAUUGGGCGUAAAGAGCGUGUAGGCGGCUUGGCAAGUCUGCUGUGAAAACUCGAGGCUCAACCUCGAGCUGUCGGCGGAAACUGCCUGGCUAGAGUCCGGAAGAGGAGAGUGGAAUUCCUGGUGUAGCGGUGAAAUGCGCAGAUAUCAGGAAGAACACCUAUGGCGAAGGCAGCUCUCUGGGACGGUACUGACGCUGAGACGCGAAAGCGUGGGGAGCGAACAGG